UGGGGUAUAGCUCAAUGGCAGAGCGUUCGACAGUAGAUCGAAAGGUCCCUGGUUCAAUUCCGGGUACCCCCU
rnacentral:tRNA from 1 species